GAUCAAGCGAAUAAGUGCAUACGGCGGAUGCCUUGGCGAUUACAGGCGAUGAAGGACGUGGUAGUCUGCGAUAAGUUACGGGGAGCUGACAAACGAGCUUUGAUCCGUAAAUUUCCGAAUGGGGGAACCCACUGUUUUUAAACAGUAUCCUGCUCUGAAUACAUAGGAGCAGCGAAGCGAACCGAGUGAACUGAACCAUCUAAGUAACUCGAGGAAAAGAAAUCAACCGAGAUUCCGGAAGUAGUGGCGAGCGAAACCGGAGCAGCCUGGACGAGAUAGUCAGUUAGAUAGUUGAAGUGCCUGGAAAGGCACACCGUAGUGGGUGAUAGUCCCGUAAACGAAAUCUAAUUGGUGGUACUAAGCGUCGAAUAAGUAGGGCGGGACACGUGAAAUCCUGUCUGAAUAUGGGGGGACCAUCCUCCAAGGCUAAAUACUCGUAAUCGACCGAUAGCGAACAAGUACCGUGAGGGAAAGGCGAAAAGAACCCCGGAAGGGGAGUGAAAUAGAUCCUGAAACCGUAUGCAUACAAACAGUAGGAGCGGGCUUUGUCCCGUGACUGCGUACCUUUUGUAUAAUGGGUCAGCGACUUACAUUCAGUGGCAAGCUUAACCGAGUAGGGGAGGCGUAGCGAAAGCGAGUCCGAAUAGGGCGAUUUAGUCGCUGGGUGUAGACCCGAAACCAGGCGAUCUAUCCAUGGUCAGGUUGAAGGUAAGGUAACACUUACUGGAGGACCGAACCCACUAAUGUUGAAAAAUUAGGGGAUGAACUGUGGAUCGGAGUGAAAGGCUAAACAAGCUUGGAGAUAGCUGGUUCUCUUCGAAAACUAUUUAGGUAGUGCCUCGUAUAUUACUGUCGGGGGUAGAGCACUGUUAUGGCUAGGGGGUCACAGCGACUUACCAAACCAUGGCAAACUCCGAAUACCGACAAGUACAGUACGGGAGACAGACAUCGGGUGCUAACGUCCGGUGUCAAGAGGGAAACAACCCAGACCGCCAGCUAAGGUCCCUAAAACGGGCUAAGUGGGAAACGAAGUGGGAAGGCAUAGACAGUCAGGAGGUUGGCUUAGAAGCAGCCACCCUUUAAAGAAAGCGUAAUAGCUCACUGAUCGAGUCGUCCUGCGCGGAAGAUGUAACGGGGCUAAGCCAGUUACCGAAGCUGCGGACGUGAAUUUAUUCACGUGGUAGGAGAGCGUUCUGUAAGCCUGUGAAGGUGUGUCGAGAGGCAUGCUGGAGGUAUCAGAAGUGAGAAUGCUGACAUGAGUAGCGAUAAAGGGAGUGAAAAGCUCCCUCGCCGUAAGUCCAAGGUUUCCUGCGCAACGUUCAUCGGCGCAGGGUGAGUCGGCCCCUAAGGCGAGGCAGAGAUGCGUAGCUGAUGGGAAGCGGGUUAAUAUUCCCGCACCAUUGUAAAGUGCGAUGGGGGACGGAUGACGGAAGGUCAUCGAGGUGUUGGAUUACCUCGUUGAGGCAUCAUAGAAGGCGCUUAGGCAAAUCCGGGCGCGUAAUUCAAGGGUGUCGCUGAAUGGGUCUACGGACCCAAACUGAUUGAAAGUUGUCCCAAGAAAAGCCUCUAAGCUUCAGCUUUACAAGACCGUACCGCAAACCGACACAGGUGGACGGGAUGAAUAUUCCAAGGCGCUUGAGAGAACUCAGGAGAAGGAACUCGGCAAAUUGAUACCGUAACUUCGGGAGAAGGUAUGCCCUGGUAGUGUGAUGUGCCUGCGCACAAAGCAUGAAGGGGCCGCAGUGAAUCGGUGGCUGCGACUGUUUAUUAAAAACACAGCACUCUGCAAACACGAAAGUGGACGUAUAGGGUGUGACGCCUGCCCGGUGCCGGAAGGUUAAGUGAUGGGGUGCAAGCUCUUGAUCGAAGCCCCGGUAAACGGCGGCCGUAACUAUAACGGUCCUAAGGUAGCGAAAUUCCUUGUCGGGUAAGUUCCGACCUGCACGAAUGGCGUAACGAUGGCCACACUGUCUCCUCCUGAGACUCAGCGAAGUUGACGUGGUUGUGAAGAUGCAAUCUACCCGCGGCUAGACGGAAAGACCCCAUGAACCUUUACUGUAGCUUUGCAUUGGAUCGUGAACCGGCCUGUGUAGGAUAGGUGGGAGGCACUGAAGCGUGGACGCUAGUCUGCGUGGAGCCAACCUUGAAAUACCACCCUGGUCUGUUUAUGGUUCUAACCUAGGUCCGUUAUCCGGAUCGGGGACCGUGCAUGGUGGGCAGUUUGACUGGGGCGGUCUCCUCCUAAAGUGUAACGGAGGAGUUCGAAGGUACGCUAGAGACGGUCGGAAAUCGUCUUGAUAGUGCAAUGGCAUAAGCGUGCUUAACUGUGAGACUGACACGUCGAACAGGUACGAAAGUAGGACAUAGUGAUCCGGUGGUUCUGUAUGGAAGGGCCAUCGCUCAACGGAUAAAAGGUACUCUGGGAUAACAGGCUGAUACCGCCCAAGAGUUCAUAUCGACGGCGGUGUUUGGCACCUCGAUGUCGACUCAUCUCAUCCUGGGGCUGUAGCCGGUCCCAAGGGUAUGGCUGUUCGCCAUUUAAAGAGGUACGUGAGUUGGGUUUAAAACGUCGUGAGACAGUUUGGUCCCUAUCUGCCGUGGGCGUUGGAUACUUGACGGAGCCUGCUCCUAGUACGAGAGGACCGGAGUGGACGUACCGCUGGUGUAUCGGUUGUCAUGCCAAUGGCAUCGCCGAGUAGCUAAGUACGGAAGAGAUAACCGCUGAAGGCAUCUAAGCGGGAAACUCGUCUGAAGAUUAGGUAUCCCGGGGGCUUGACCCCCUGAAGGGUCGUUCGAGACCAGGACGUUGAUAGGCUGGGUGUGGAAGUGCAGUAAUGCACGUAGCUAACCAGUACUAAUUGCCCGUGCGGCUUGAUCCU
rfam:Paenalcaligenes hominis strain 15S00501, complete genome.